UACGUAGGUGGCGAGCGUUGUCCGGAAUCAUUGGGCGUAAAGAGCGCGUAGGUGGCUUGUCAGGUCUGAUGUGAAAUCCUGGGGCUCAACUCCAGAACUGCAUCGGAAACCGGCUUGCUAGAGUCUGGGAGAGGAGAGUGGAAUUCCUGGUGUAGCGGUGAAAUGCGUAGAUAUCAGGAGGAACACCGGUAGCGAAGGCGGCUCUCUGGAACAGUACUGACGCUGAGGCGCGAAAGCUAGGGGAGCGAAC
rnacentral:rRNA from 1 species